ACGUGACGUAGUUUCCGAUUAGACCGGAAAAUAAGUACGCAAGUCUUUUCACCCUCCGCUGUGAAGUAUGAGGUUGCUUUUCGGUGUAUUCGACAAAAUGAGUGCGUCUCCCUGUCUAAACUUAUUUGUUUCAUUACGCUUGUGCUUGGAAACCCGCACGUUGGUUCAGGGUAUAAGUUACCGUUGAAAUGACGUGACGCUCUCGCGCGCUGCUCUGCCACGAGAUGCGGGAUCUCAAGACCUGACGCGCAGGACUCCACGGCACGUGGACGAAGCGUGGCCCAACGGCGGAGGAACACUGCGCUAGUUUUGAGGAAAAAAUAUAAGCGAUAAGGAAGUUCAUGUAAGUGAACUAUCGCUGGCCUGGCCUGACCUUUGGUUGAAUGGACUUAAAGAAAGGGAAGACUGAGGAAUAAGUGAUUGCAUGGUACUACAUGAUCAGUGUGUAAAAUAAAACCCAAUAUAUAAACACA